AUGUGUGAUAAAAUAUUUGAUUUGUUGCUGAAAAAUAAUUACAUUACAAUUCUUGAUUACCAUGUUAAGCCAUCAAUCCAAGGAGGAAUGUAUUGUAAGUUGCAUGAUUCGUCCAAGCAUAAUUUUGAGGAUCGCAACAUGUUUCGUCAAAUAGUUAAAUCGACCAUUGAAAAAGGACGACUGAAGUUUGUUGAAACACCAAGAGAUGACCAGUCUAUUCCGAUUGGUCCCGAUGGCAAAAAGUUUUUGCAUUGGCUGCUUCAAGCCGAUCCAUUUAAAGAGAAUGUAAAAGCUGCAGGUGAUGGGAUCAAGCUUUCAAGUAAAGAAGUUGUUGAAGAGCAUAACGAGCAUAAUCUUGAGGGCGGGAGUUCCAUCGAAGCUACAAUGGAGACGCCAAGGACUGGGGGGCAGCAAGCAAAUCUAAUGAUCGAUGAAAGCAAACCAAAAGAAAACAAAGGCCAGAAUAAGCGCAAGUGUAAGAGAUCAAAAAUCACCUUUGCUGAACUAUUGGAUAAAUAUUAA
rnacentral:rRNA from 1 species